GGGAAGCGUUGCGGGGCGGGGGCGGCGGCCGGAGCCGCUUCCGGCAGCACGGCGGGGCCGGCGGCUCCGCCCGCCGCCCGGUCGCUCCGGGCGCAUCCGGC
rnacentral:tRNA from 1 species